rnacentral:lncRNA from 1 species
AUGCUAAGAAAAUACACAUGCAGGUUUAAGCUCAGAAAUAGCCCCCAGGGAGCUCUCUGCAGUGUUAGAUUUAUCAAAAAGCGGGGGGGGGGGGCAGCUCCUGUAUCUUUUCCAUGUUUACACUGGCAAUCACCGAGAGCCCAACUGAGGACAGGCGCAUGGAGACAACAGGUGCACUGCGGUCCCACUCAACAUCCUCUUCUCCAAAAUGCUCUGUCCAUGACCGGAAGACACACAGACUCAAGAUUCCUUGCCCUAACCCACCCCAGUUUCAGGAGGAUACUUCUACUACCCCUAUUCCAUUGAACAAGAUGUACAACACUCUAUACUGCCGCAGGGAAGUAGCUUUCUGAGGGAGGACUUGUCAACAGAUUCGGAGAGGAAAUUUAUCAACCUGUCAAACCGCACUGGGGUUCUUGUUUUGUUUUUUAAAACUAUCCAGAGCAUCACUGGUUAUUUUCCACUGGGUCAGUCCGGGCCCAUAAGCACCGGCUAUUUUUUAAUUCCCUUAGCUAGUGGCAACUUAUUUCCCCAUAAAUAUAAACAUUAAUGAUAGGGGCAAGACAGCAGCCACUCAACCCGGAUUAAAAUGGAAAGCUAAUGAUAUUGCAUCCGUUUCCAGGGAAAAGUUUAGCAGAUUAAUUCUUCUCUCCCCCACGCCCUCCUUCCUUCAGUUCUUUCCACAGCAACUCCAUUAUUGCAAAAGGCCCCUUCCCUUCCCUUCAGCCUUAUGUAAAAUCUCACCGGAGAGACAGGGAAAAAAGACCUUUUAAACGUCCUCACCAACCACCACCACCAGGCGGAAGAAACAGAGACGCAGCCCCCUAAAUCAUGACAGGGCAAUAGUGGAAGCCCACCUCUUCCCUUGAAGCAUGCACACAAAGAGAGGCUGCGUUGCCCCCAUUGAUAAAAAAAUAAAUUAAGAGGGCGUCGGGCAGACGAGGCGGAUUCACCGGAGCGUCUGCGCAGGCAGGUGAACAUGUUAGACACCGGUUGCAGAGGAUGCAAGCAUGCAUGCACUCCGGCUGCAAAGCGCCCGAGCGGGGAGCCGCUGGGUGGAAGCGAUGCAGCGAAAUAACGCUGAAAUAAUGCAAAACGUCCAAAACGAGCAAGCCCACGCUGCCGUCUCUUUCUCGCCGCGUCCAAACCCAAGUUACCUUUGGACAGCGAAACGGUUUGGGGUCGUGUUUUGCCUUUUUAGCGUAUUGGGGGGGGUGUCUGGAGAUAGGCAGCCGUCGCCACGCCAGUUCCCCCCCUG